rnacentral:lncRNA from 1 species
CGCUCCCACGGCAUAUGGAGGUUCCCAGGCUAGGGGUUGAAUCAGAGCUGCAGGUGCCAGCCUAUACCAGAGCCACAGCCAUGGGGGAUCCAAGCCGCGUCUGCGACCUACACUACAGCUCACGGCAACGCGGGAUCCUUAACCUACUGACUGAGGCCAGAGAUCGAAUCUGCAACCUCAUGGUUCCUAGUCGGAUUCAUGAACCACUGCACCACGAUGGGAACUCUGGAUUUUUGACUCUUGUUCACUGUUAGAGCAGGAUCUGGCACACAGCAGGUCCUCAAUAGAUCUGACUGAUGAGUGAAUGGAUGGAUGAAUUUUAGUUUGCAAACUCUGGGACAAAUGGAGUGGAAGACAGAAUUUACUUCUGGUAACUGCAGCCGCUCCAGGAAAUGUUCACCAAACACUGUAAACUGAAUAGAUAAUGUUUCCCUUUUUACAUGAUUUAUCACUUUGCAAAUAUAUGUAAGUUCUUUUGUGGCUAAUAAGAAUUUAAAAGCAUGUAAUUAAUAUUAUGUAUCACUUUGUGAAAUUCUUUGGCAAUAUAAGCAGAUAUUAUAUAGGACUUAGUUUGACAAAUACCCUAAGCACUUUAAAUGUAUUUACUAACUGAGCUUCACAGCACUUAUGAGGUAGAUACUUUAGUUACCCCUAGUUUGCAGAUGCAGACACUGAGGUAAAGAGGUGCAGUGAUGGAACCAGCAUUCAAAUCCAAGCAAUCUGGAUACGAAGUUACUGCUCUUAAUCCACAGUGUUCAAUUAAUAUGGCCAAGGAGCCUUCUUUCUAGCUUGUGCAGUAACUCCUAGACUAAAAUGAUGUCUAAGAUCCUGUCCAGCCCAUAAAUGGCUGUGAGUCCAUGUAGUGAGUGCUGAUCCCCGUAUCAGUAACAUUUAAACAGCAGCACAAAAUGCAUUGACAGACAUGGCCACUUCUCCUGAGAUCCGUGGAGGUGAUGUGUAAGUUUUUCUCCAUGUAGAGAUUAAAAAGUUGUGGCUUGUCAUUCUCAAAAAUUCUGCCGAAAGUCCUGGGGUCAAAGGAAUGUGUAGACCUUACCAAAAGGCCUGGUCUCAUUUCAGCAGCAGUUUCUCUUUGUUUAGGGGCAAGUCAGGUCAUUUUAUGCCUUCGUUUAUUCCAGGUCCCUGUGGUCAGGGGCAGAAUAUACUGACACAUUUAGCCCAACGGCUUGCACUGAACCAGUUAAGUGACACUGACUUAUGACUUGCCCCUUGGGACUCUCAUUAACCAUAAGUUAUGACACCCAAGAGAACCGUGGAGAGAGUCAAAGCUUAGGAUUCAUUUUAUUUUUAGCUUAAUGGCUCCCUCUUCUCGAGUUUCAGAUCAGUGCUUUCUCGAUGGCUGCCUGUGAAAGCCGGCCAGCCUCCAGUUGGUUUAACAACACUACCUAGCCUCGUUGUUAGGAAAAAAAACGGGAAAGUCAAAAUAAAGAAGCACUUUCUCCUAUAAGAGAAAAAAAUAUCCUAGGUAGUAAUUACUCCAUUGUCUAAAAUGAUGGUAUUAGUCACUGUCUUUCCAUCAAAAUUAAACAAUACAAAGGAAUUGGCAAGAGAAGGGAACUGGUGGAAAAAGCAUUAUUUUCAUUUAGCUGCUAAUCGAAAGAGAUAAUUUCACUGUUCUUACCACUAAGAGGUACAAAAGUAACCAUUAAUUCUUGACCAUAACAAGAUUAAGUAUCUGUGGGUUAUCUUUCUUAUUUUGUGUCCUCAACUUGACAGCCUCUUGCAUGUUUUGUGGUAUUAGGUUAGGAGUUCUUAACUUUUUUCCUUUCUUUGUGGGGGUGGUGGGUCAUAUAUUCCUUGAGGAUCUGAAAAACGCCAUAGAGCUGCUCCUUGAAGACUUUCAUAAAUUGCAAUGUCAAGGGGUUCAGCUAUUCUCCUAAUUUCCACCCCACAAGGAGUAGUAGGUAAAACAUGAUCAAGAAUUACCGUGAAUAGAACUUGAGUUAUGCUGUAGGAUGCUUCAUUGAUUAGUGCCUGACUUUGAAAUGGUGGCCCAGGAAUGAGGAUUCCACCUCCUCUGGCCCUCCUUUAUUCUCAUCAUCAUCACACUUAUAACAUAAUUUAUGAACAUUUUCUCCUAUACUGUCUUGUAUCCUUUUGGUCAAGAGGCACAAAAUUUUUAAAUGUGGUAACUGAAAUUCAAAGCGGGCAACUGCCUUCCUUGUGGUGAGAAAGAGCACUGUUAAGCCCAACACAUGCAGCAGGCUGCGGACGCCUUGAAGAGACUUUCCACCAAAUUCAGUCGAUACAGCACCACACUUUAUCAGAGAAAAAACCCUCAAAUGAAAUGUACUAUUUAUGUGGAACCCCGGCUGUUGUUUGUUCUUCCUCACCAUGACACCAGAGAUUCAAUGAUUGUAAAAACAAAUCGAAUGUGUCUGCUCCUAAAUCCUUAUUUAAUGUAGUGCUAUGUGUGAUGAUGGGCCACAAAGCAAAAUAUGUAGAAUGAAGAAAGCCUACGUGGGUAGUUUCAUGUGGUGAAAAAGGUACCAAGUGGAAAGGAAAUGUGAUGCUGAAAAAUGAGUGCCUCUUCAGCACUCCUACAUUUUGCUUCUCAGGUCUUGACUAUUGACGGAAAAGGACCUAUGACUGCUUGGGCCAAAGAAAUGUCUGUUUCAUCUCUGGAGGGACGAGGCAGGACAGAAACUAGUGCCCAUUGGUGCGUGCACAGCCCAAUUCGCAUUCCUCCCUUCCUGCAGAGGCUGCACGUAGACGCUUCCCUUCCUCUUACAGGUUACCAAGCUCUCUUCAGAGAUGUGAGGUCAGACUUUAUCACUGCUCAGAUUGGAGGAGGAACAGGUGCCGCAGCAUCAGAUUCAGGAAGUAAAACAGAAGCCAAUCUCCUCAUUCAAGGGAGUUUGGAAGCAUGGGCCUUUCACUUCUCUAUUAGAGAAGCUUUAAACUAGAUCAGACCUGAGAAUGCCUCUGCCUUCCGCUCUCCUGUUCUCCUUCCCCUUCUUCUCUCCCUCUCUGGAAAUCACAGGCAGGGAAAUAUAUUUGUAGAUAGUUAAGGAUUUGUUGGACUUCCUGCCUAUACUGUGACAGGCUGUCUUCCUGAAGAUCAGGACACAGAAUUUCAUCACUUUAUGAUAAACAAGCUUUGUGUGUGUGUGUGUUUAUUAUUUUCCCAACACAAUUUUUCCCCACUGUACAGCAUGGGGACCCAGUUACACAUACAUAUAUUCAUUCUUUUUCUCCCACUGUCAUGCUCCAUUCUAAGUAUCUAGGCAUAGUUCUCAGGGCUACACAGCAGGAUCUCAUUGCUAAUCCAUUCCAAAAGCAAUAGUUUGCAUCCGUUAAUCCCAAACUCCCAAUUCAUCCCACUCCCUCCUCCUCCCCCCAGGCAAUCACAAGUCUAUUCUCCAAGUCCAUGAUUUUCUUUUCUGUGGAAAGGUUCAUUUGUGCUGUAUAUUAGAUUCCAGAUACAAGUGGUAUCAUAUGGUAUUUCUCUUUCUCUUUCUGGCUUACUUCACUCAGGAUGAGAGUCUCUCCUUCCAUCCAUGUUGCUGCAAAUGCCAUUAUUUUGUUCUUUUUAUGGCUGAGCAGUAUUCCGUUGUGUAUAUGUACCACAUCUUCCUAAUCCAAUCAUCUGUCAAUGACAUUUGGGUUGUUUCCAUGUCUCGGCUAUUGUGAAUAGUGCUGCAAUGAACAUGUGAGUGCAUGUGUCUUUUUCAAGGAAAGCUUUGUCCAGAUAUAUGCCCAAGAGUGGGAUUGCUGGGUCAUAUGGUAGUUCUAUGCAUAGAUUUCUAAGGUAACUCCAUACUGUUCUCCAUAGUGGCUGUACCAGUUUACAUUCCCACCAACAGUGCAGGAGGGUUCCCUUUUCUCCACACCCCCUCCAGCACCUGUUAUUUGUGGACUUACUAAUGAUGGCCAUUCUGACUGGUGUGAGGUGGUAUCUCAUGGUAGUUUUGAUUUGCAUUUCUCUAGUAAUCAGGGAUGUUGAGCAUUUUUUCAUGUGCUUGUUAGCCAUCGGUACAUCUUCUUUGGAGAAAUGUCUAUUCAGGUCUUUUGCCCAUUUUUCCAUUGGGUUGUUGGCUUUUUUGCUGUUGAGUUGUAUAAGUUGCUUGUAUAUUCCAGAGAUUAAGCCCUUGUCAGUUGCAUCGUUUGAAACUGUUUUCUCCCAUUCUGUAAGUUGUCUUUUUGUUUUCUCUUUGGUUUCCUUUGCUGUGCAAAAGCUUGUCAUUUUGAUUAGGUCCCGUUGGUUUAUUUUUGCUCUUAUUUCUGUUGGUUUGGGAGACUGACCUGAGCAAACAUUUCUAAGGGUGAUGUCAGAGAAUGUUUUGGCUAUGUUCUCUUCCAGGAAUUUGAUGGUGUCUUGUCUUAUAUUUAAGUCUUUAAGCCAUUUUCAGUUUUAUUUUCAUGCAUGGUGUGAGGGUGUGUUCUAGUUUCAUUGAUUUACAUGCAGCUGUCCAGGUUUCCCUGCAAUACUUGCUGAAAAGACUGUUUUUUUCCCAUUUUAUGUUCUUGCCUCCUUUGUCAAAGAUUAAUUGACCACAGGUGUCUGGGUUUAUUUCUGGGUUCUCUAUUCUGUUCCACAGGUUUGCAUGUCUGUUUUGGUACCAGUACCACACUGUCUUGAUGACUGUGGCUUUUUAAGCAAGGCCAGUGGACCCCCACCCAAAGCCACCCCUCGUGGGGAGACCACAGGAUGGGCUGUCGGGGGCCUCCCACUUAUUCUACACCUCUCAUGUCUCUUCACCGUGUCAGGCUAGAGUCAAGCUCAACAGGGUCUUCUUUCCCCACUGAUUCUGCCAAGCCCGUUCCCUUGGCUGUGGUUUCGCUGGAUAGUAGGUAGGGACAGUGGGAAUCUCAUUCAUCCAUUCAUGUGUGUCACUAAUUAGAUGACAAGGCAUUUGGCUACCUUAAGAGAGUCGUAGUUACUACCGCCGUUUACCUGCACUUCAUUCAAUUUCUUCACUUUGACAUUCAGAGCACUGGGCAGAAGUCACAUCGUGUCAACACCAGCCACGGGCCUUCGCGGAUACACAAGUUUAAUUUUAGGGAUUUGAAAAACAGUUAAAAGAUGGCUGAGGGCCGCAGAAUUAUUUGGGGGGCUAGACAUGGUUCCUACUGAUCCUUCCUCUUGAAUUAUCAGAUUUCCUCCCUAAAUAUUACUUUUGGAAAGAGUGGCUGAGCUGAAAACAGAUAAGGGAGUGUGGAAAUAAAUGAAGACCACCCAAAUGAGAGCAAAUGGAGCUUUUUAGCAGAAAAAGGGAUGGUGGAAAAAGGUGUGACUGGAAUGUAGGUUUUUGACUUGCAGAAGCAGGAAGAGGGCUGGCUAGAAGUGGGGCAACCUAUGUGGUUGAUUAGGAGAGAAUUUUUUGGUUAAUUAACUCCUGAGGUAGAAGUAGGGAUUAAAAAUAGGCAAGUUAAUGGUCACUGGCUAUGUCCUGACUCUUCUGGGCUGGCUGCUCAGAAGAUGGCCUCAGAGCUCAGUUGCUACACAUGGUCCAGCCAUUAUUAGCUUGUAUAUUCAGUCUCUCAGGAGUGACUGCUAAAGAAUGCAGCCCUUCUCCCUUUUUAGAGGAGACGUAUUAACGAUAUCUUUGCAUCUUCCUUUUCCUUCACCCUCUGGGCUCCACCUAUCACAAGUUUUCUCCUUGUCCUCCCACCAAGUUUGUGUCCAGACACAUCAUCUCCUUGUAGGGGAAUGGCUGGAAAGCUGACCUAAUCAGAUUCCUCCCUCCAUUCUCCUGACCCUUAAGUCCAUCCAGCAAAUUGGCCACUCUUUAGAUAAUUAUCCCCAAACCAGCUAUCUUUGUGACACCCAGGACCAAAGUAAAGAAAACAACACCUAAUGUGGGCUCCAUCCUUAUCAGUUAAGAUUAACUUUCUAAAAUCUUCAGCCUGAUUUUCAAAUCCCUUCAUGAUCUGGCGCACGCUGCCAAUCUGGCUUUAUUUCCUCCAUCCCCUACCACCACCUGCCUAACUCUCCAAAACUAUGGGUGGUAACCUAUGCAAAGAAAGGUCCUGGAAGGGCCUAAUGGGUUAUGCAUUUGGUCCUCAGUUAAGCCAUGGGGUUUCUCUAUGUUGUAUGGCCACAGACUAUACCCUUGUACCUGGUGGUCACCACAUAGAAAUAUGCUAUAAGGUCAAUCCUAACUCAUUUUUUAGUUUUUUUUUUUUUAAUACAAUUUUAUAAUUUAGAAAGUUUUUUUUUCUUUUCUUUUCUUUUGUUUUUGCUGUGCUCAUGUCAUGUGAAAGUUCCUGGGCCAGGGAUUGAACCCAUAUCACAAUAGCAACCCAAGCGACUGCAGUGACAACACCAGAUUCUUAACCCUCUGUGCCACAGGAGAACUCCUAGAAAGCAUUUUUCAAAUUCAUCACUUCAAAUGAUUCUCCUAACAAACCUGGGGGGAAGUUUAAUGCCAUAGUUUAUACAUGAGAGAAUACACAUAUGCUUUCAUAAUUACCUGAUUUACCCCAAAGUCAUGCAGAUAAUAGAUGGGAAGAAUAAAUAAGUAAACAAUAUUCUUAGAACCAAGCGCUGAGUAUGCAUCCACCUGACCACUUAUUGUGUAUAUUUUUUUCUGACUGCUAUAGAAUACUUGGGCAAUAUAUAAAAGGGUAAAAGUUAAAGAAAAAAAUCAUCUAUAAACACUCUUCUAUAGACAACCAAUGGUAACAUUUUGUAUAUUUCUUUGCAGUUCUUUCUCUACUACUUUGAAAUAAGUCAUCCCAAACUACAUAUAAUUUGUAUUAUUCUUUGUUAAUAAUUAUAUAUUUUACAAAGGUAUUUCCUCAUGUUUUAAAAAUUCAUGAUAAAAAGAUUAAUAUGAAUAUUUGAUGCAUAUUUAAUCUUUUGCACAUAUAAAAUGAAAUAAACAAUAUCCAAGCAACUAAACAUUUAGCUUGCUAACAAUAUUUCUAUUUUUUAAAUGCUGUCAUCAGGAGUUCCCAUUGUGGCUCAAUGGGUUAAGAACCCAACUAGUAUCCAUGAGGUUGUGGGUUCAAUCCCUGGCCUUAUUCAGCAGGCUAAGGAUCCAGAGUUGCCACAAAGUGCGGUACAGAUUGCAGAUGGAGCUUGGAUCCAGCGUUGCUGUGGCUGUGGCAUAGGCCAGCAGCUGCAGCUCCAGUUUGAUCCCUAGCCUGGGAACUUC